GACGCGUAAGCGCCGUAGGCAGGAGCGGGGGACCCAGGUAACGCCGCCGGGUCCGCACCGGCCCCCUCCGAGGGGGCGUACGGGACCGGCUAGGGGUGAAGCCGUGCGCAAGGACGCACGGCCGGGCAACUCAUCAGCCCGAACCCGACAGCUCACCUCGUAGGCGUCGGUGAGGAGAUUC
rnacentral:sRNA from 2 species